GGUUUGGUGUUUGGUGUUACUUGCGUCUCGGUCUCGUAUGAGGGAGGAAGCGUCUUAAGUUUAGAUCUGACUAACAAUUGUAAUUUAUAAUUACAAUAUUAAAGUACCCAUUUUUCUGCAGCUAUUCAGAAUGUGGCCAUUCAGUUAAGAAACAACAGUCACCGUUAACAAAUUCCUGAUAUUGAGGUUUGCCACUGACAGCAAGUGGAAGUCAAGUGAGCCAGAAUAUUAGGUUUACACUAAGAUUUUUUACCUGGGAAGUCAUUUAUAUUCCAUUACUAAAUGACUUUUGUUUACAAAUUCAUCACUGGAAAUUAUGUUAACAACAAUAUGUACAAUGGAAUAUACUUUGGCCAUGUUGAGCGCAUAAAAGAAAUUAUUGCCUCUUACGGAUUUUCCCACGAACCCAAGUGGGAGGAAGGCUAUGAUUUGCUGAUCGUGGCGAUCGACAGCCAAAAUAUACAUGUGGCCAAGUCCCUGGUGAUGUUACAAUGUAAAUUGCAAAAAACUGAAAUGGAAAAUUCAAAAAGCUGCAAGCCACUUCUCCGUAGAGCAAUAAGAAACGGAGAUUGUGAGCUUGUAAGCAUGCUGUUAGAACGCAUCCCAAGCGAGAUCUGGCUGGAGUACCCGCUGGUGCACUGGGCAGUAUCCGAGGGCCGCAGGGAUAUGGUGAAGCUACUGCUACAGCGAGGAGUGGACAUAGAGGCAAGAAACAAGGCAAGACAGACAGCCCUGCACUUGGCAGCUGUCGAAGGGCAUGCGGACAUCGUACAGGAGCUGGUAAUGUCCGGUGCUGACAUCGAGAGCCGAGACUAUGGUGGAAGAACCAGUCUUUUUAUGGCGGUAUCAGCCGGUCAUCUAGAUGUGGUGAAAGAGUUGUUGGUACAGGAAGCCAACACUUCCUGUAAAUUCAACGGGUUAACUCCUAUGUACGUUGCUGUCAGUAAGGGCUAUACAGAGAUAUUUAUGGAGCUUUUGGAAUUUGGAGCGGACUUCGAGGGGACAGAUGACUUUGGACAGACUCCCUUACAUAUUGCUUGUUUGAAGAAUAGAGCAUCUAUAGUUUCCAUCCUUCUGGAAGCUGGUGCCAACGUGAAUGUGGUGGAUGCCAGAGGAAUGGUCCCUGGUAGUGCCGUUUUCGGACCCACGGAUUUCCAUCCAAAUUACAACAUGUCAUUGGUGCCAAUGAUGCUUGCAAAGCAGUUCACAGCACUCAAAGCAGCUGGUUUAUUUUUAAACGAAGAAAAUGAAAUAGUGUUCGGGGAAAUGUACGAAGACUUAUUCUUCAGACUCUCGGACAAUCGUAUCGUAACCGUCGACGGAUUUUUAAAUGAAGUCAUGGAGUGCUGCAAAGCAGAAGUCUUGAAAAUGAAAGAAGUCAGGUGUGGAAAUGCUUUCUCAGUCUACAGCAUUUUCCGAAGAAUUCAGGAGCCAACACCAACAGCUACACUUAAGGAAAUUGAAUUCUUGGAGACACUUAAUUUGGAAGAGGAAUUCCCUAACUAUAAAAAUAUUUUAAAAAGAUUCAUAGCCAGGGUAAAAGAGAGAAAGGGCCUAUUAUCAUCAGGUGAAGAGUGGCUUUCAUUGUUUCUCAACUACAGCGGACACACACUUCCAAUUAUUCCUCCAGAGGUAAAGCUAAUCAUAUUGUCCUAUCUGAAAAAUGAGGAUUUGAAGCAACUUAACGUCUGUGGCAAACAACUGUUCAGUUAGAAAAAUAAGAGUGCCGUGCAGUGAGUGUGCGGCACAGAACCGAGCCACAAACUGUGACGUCAUCCUAAAAUACCAUUUUUGGGCCAGACACCACUUUUGACUUCAUUGGUCAUCGAAGAGUCAUUUGGAUUCACAAGGCUGAACAUCUAUUAAACCCUUAACUGCCACGCUCGUGUUAUCAUAUGCCAAACAGCUGCUUCGCCACCUGGCAGCUGUUGGAUGAAACUCAUUGGCCUCUAGUAGUAUUUAUUUGAACUACUACAAAUCCACAAUAGUACUGUAUAAUUGCUACUACACUCUGUCGGUGUAGAGAAACUUCUGUGUACAACAGUUUUUAUAUACUCAUGUAUUAAAAUAUUGAAUUAGUUACCUUUGUUCUUUUUUAUAGCGUUCCUAUUAAUUUAAAAAAUACUCAGUUGUUUCAACACUGUAAACAUGUUCUCUAAUUCGUAACCGCUAAAUAGAUAAACCGCUCACAAAAAACCUGUGCAGAAGCAUAUAUCUAAGCAACAACGCGCAGGGGAGAGCUCCCUUCAGUCGUGGGGAGUGGGAUAAGCAUCUCCUCGUCUCUGUUUUAUCAGCUGUGUGGAUAGUGUCUCGCUCGUGCCAUUUUGUUUACCUGCAGCUACUUACCUAUACUAUAAGUAUCUUGUAUUUUUGUGUGUAGGCCCAUACAAGCGUAAAAUAUUGAACAGACAUAUCCAGGGAGCUUGCGUUUUAGUGUGAAGUUAGCUGCUAAGUGGCAGUGGUCAGGUCAGGGGAUAGAGCAAGCGGGCGAGUGCCGAGUAGUGGUGGGGAUACCAGGAGAGGGUGGCAUCACAGCGGCGGGGGGUAUUUACCCCACCCUGCGUGAACUAAAAUCGCCCAGUGUCUUUUUGUAAGCGGUUUACCUAUGGUACAUAAGUCUAUCUUUAAGGUUAUAAUCAUUAACCCUACCGAUAUAGCUUCUAGUCAAUAUAUCAUUUUUAAGAUCUCUUGUACUUAUUCUCUAAGAAUAUUGUAGUCAAGUAAUUAGGAAUAUUUUUUAUAAUCGUCAUAAGAAUAUUUAGUUAGUAAUAGAACAAUUUGUUACUCAAUUACUUUUAACAGUGACCUCACAAUCGUUCAAUAUUUAAUAUUUUUUUAAAUAUUUAAUUAAUUAUUUUACAGAUAAAUGGAUUACUGACUGACCAAAUAGCUUCUCAAGCAAUAUUGUUGUUUUUAUUAGGCUUUUAGGUUUUUUUUUGUUUCUUGUAUGUUUUGUGUAAAUAACAAAGAAACAGCAAACUAUAUAAAUAUUAGUACCUUAAAUAAAUGUUGUCUCUAGAUUAAAUGGGCAUUUUGUUAUGGCUACAAUGAGUAUGGGUUGUGAUUAACAGCUGUUUUUGUUUCUGGGAUAUUGGAAAUUCUUUAACAUUAAUUUUUGUUGAUUUACUUCAGCACACAUACAGUGAUUUGUGGGAAGUUGAACUGUAGCGAUUCAAUGUGUUAACUUAGUUAAAGUUUUUUUAAUAGAAAAUUGAGUUUUAACUAACUAUUUUCUUUUCAACUAUGGCAAAUAGGGCAAUGGUUUCAUGUUUUUUUUUAAUAAAAUUAUUGAUUUAGGCAUAUCUUGGUUCAAAGACUCAAAAUAUUUUGUUCUUUUGUAAUACGUAGAGAAUAACCUGCCUUUAUUUUAGUCUUCCCAGUGUGUGUAUAGGAAAAGGUUGGGUUGAUUGCAAUUAAAUAAUAAAACUUGUAUAUGCAGGUUAACGAGCUGUGUAUUUAUUGAGUACAAUUGAUAGACUGAUCAAAAUAUUACAAAGUAAACAAUCAAACUGUCUUAAUAAUAACAAUCCUCCUUGUUAGGCACUGAACUAUGUGGAACUAUUGACACAUAUGAAUUGUUUUUAAACAAAUAAAUUUUAUACGAAUGUUCAGUUACAAUUUGUCUUCAAACGUAUGUGAUAAAGUAUUAGUAUUAAAGCGGUUCCUUUUACUAUCUGUAUUUCUAUAAAUGCACUGGCUAAAAAGAACUUCGUUAAUUGGUUUAUUUUUCUGUUUUCAUCUUGUUUUCCUGUAAUACAAACGUUAUUUUUAAGUUUUUUAUUUCUGUAUACAUGUUGUCAAAUAUGAAAAAAUACUGUGAAAUGUAGUGGAUUACUGAGAAUAUAGUGAUUUAUUUUGAACUUUCAUAAUAAUUUAUCUUUUUAGUGGUUUUAUAAAUAAAUUAUUCCUUGUUUAAUUAAUAUAUUGUUGUAUAGUUUUAUUGGAGCUAACUACAACAAAUGGCAUUCUGAUUAUUAUUUUUGUAUGUUGAGGUAUUUACUUUUUCCUAUAUAAGGUUUCAAAAUGUAUCAAACCAAGUAUGUAACAUUUAUAUUUUAAAGAAAGUUGUAUGAAUUCAUAUUUUGUAAGGAAGUGCAGUGGUGUGAUUUAUGUUUAACACACAAAAUGAAUUUUAUGUUUGACUGUAUUUAUGUGUGUUCCAUAGCUAUGUAAAGUUAUUACUUGUGCAAUGUUUAACCUUAUAAUAUCAAAUUAUUUUAUUUUUUUUUUUUUACUAAUAAACGUAGUCAAUUAUUCUAAUAAGCUACAUAAUAUAAACCUGUUUAAUAGCUUGUGUAAUUGAUUCUCAACCAUAAACUUAUAUAAGUCAGUCAUAUUAUAAAACCACAGUUGAGUUUAUAGUUUGUGAUGAGUUAUUGGUUCAAUAAAAAUGUGAUAAUAAUACAUGUAUUAUUAUAAUCAUAAAUAUAUUUGAUGAAUAAUGUUUAAAUUAACUUGUUUAAUAAAAAAAUCACUAUACUAUUUCAUUAUAUUUUUGUAUGUUGUAUUGAGAGAUUUUAUUUUUUUACUAUGUAUAUUUUCACAAUCAAUUAAAAAUUUUAUUUUGUAACUAAACUGUUUUCAAUCAAACCUCCCCACAAAAAUCUGAUUUUUUAUUAUUGAGGUUCUAAAUAUUUUAAUAGCAGUAUUUUGAUUCAAGUAUGUGUUUGGUUAUGGCGGAUACGAGUAUUAGAGAACUUCAGACUAUUUUUUGAUGAGUUGGAAAAACUGCUGAACACCAAUGCAAUAAGUGCUACGGACAAAUAAUUUUGCUUGAGUCUGGGAGAUCUUGUAGCAUUUUUGUUAAGAAAAUUGUCAUCCCAGCUGAAACUCUGAUUAUAUCUAUCAUGAUAUCUAAUAUAUACGGAAAAAUAGCAAUACAGUCCAGCACAAAUUUAAAAUAUGUUAUAAAAUGACAGUCUAUUCCAUUGACCAUGUAGAAUGUCAUAAGGUAUAUUCGUAAUAAUUUAAAUUGCUAUAUUUCCAAAAAGACAAUAUAAUUCAUAUCACAUAUUGAAAAUGCAUUGGAGUCAACUGACCCAACCUGAAAUAACCAUUUUGUUAUCUCGUGAUUAGAUAUACUGUUGUUUUAUUUAGUGAUCUCUGGACUUCGUUCACUAUCAAGAUCUUUUCAAAUAUCCCUGUGGUUAAGAUGGACAAUAGGAUAAGUUUCUGUUUUCUCUCUUAAAUUCUUUUUACUGCACCAGAUUCAUAGCCAAAUGGUCUCUAUCUCUGACAAGAGAAUCAUCACUCCCCCUUAUCUUUCCUAAACCACUUCCGAUUCAGCGAUGAUAAUUCUCAUAUCUCCUUCCUGUUCCUCUCUCACUGCAAUAGCGGUAUCUAAUGGUUCUUAAAUAAACAAUGUUUCAAAAUAGUUUGUAAAAAAUUAUUUAUGACUCAUGAUGUAAAUUUAAUCUUUAGCUUUCAGUUAUUAUAGCAGACAUGUUUCAAUCCUGGUCUCAGACAAGGACGUAGCCAGUGAGGGGGUCUAAGAGACCUGGACCCCCCAAAUUUUCAAUUACUUUUUUAGCAAGCGAUUAUUAUUUAAAUAAUUCAGCAUUAUUGACGUGUACUGCUGAAAGAUUGUUGUUAACAUUGAAAUGGGUCAAGUACUAUACAAAGAAAAAAAUUGAUUAUGAGUGGUUGGUUGCACUUGUAACUUGCAGGGAAAAUAUCAGUCGUCUUGACCCCCCAAAAUUUUUUCUGGGUUACAGUUUUAGUCUUAAGAGUUUUUUGAUGAGUCAGUGUGCGAGUAAUAUUUGGCUCAUCUAACUGUGAUGGUGAUAGACUUUAAACAUUGAUAACUAACUAAAUGUGUUAAUUAAACAUCAGUGUGCAAUGUUAUUAACCCAAUAAAGUAAUCAGAAAUCAGUCGAUCUGUAAACGUUUUAUAAUAUAUGGAAAUACCCCAUGACUACUUUUUUGUUGAUGAAGUGAAUAUCAAAGAUGGAAAAUUGAGAAGUUCAAAUUUAAAAUAUUAUUUUUGGCACUAGUAAUUUCCCAGAGUAAUGAUUGGAAUUUUAUUUUAUAAAAUAUAUGCCAAUGAAAACAGUUUGCCAAUGUUGUUAUAGAUUAAAACUAUAACUUAAUUUAUACUGUAACAAAUAGAAUAUGGCUUGCGUAAUAUUUGUAAAUAAUGUUGUACGUAUAAUGUUUUGUUGUAAUUUUAUUACAUUUGUACAUUUAAAAUUAAAACUAUAGCAUGUAAGGGUUCUAGACUUCUUGUUAAAUAGUGGACAGUGUGGCUGCUGGAUAGGUGUCGCUCUUAAAUAACAUAUCAAGACAAUCACUCACAUUGCUCAGCACAGCACUCACCGGACUGCACAUGCACUGACAUGAUUCUGCGUCUACUUGUCGCGUCAGUCGCCACAAACUUGCCUGUACUUGCCAUCAGACAUACAGCAUGUCACUUCCCGUCUCCUUCCAUGGAGGAUCGCUGAGUAAUUCUUUUUACCAACUUGCAUAUUAUACUUUAUAUUGCAAUUUAGACAAUGUUUCACAAAGUUUUGUCAUCUUUUAUCUUCUUCAAAGGAUUCAGACUUCUUUCCGUUUGCUUUUAUAGGAUGGGAGGGGAAGGGAAUAUAAUAUUAACUUUAUAAACUUUGAGGGAAACAUGCAGAUUUUGUGAACGAAUUUAACUAAUUAAUUGUUUAGGUGUAAUAGCUACGUAAUGCUGCGUUGAAUCCUUCAACCCUCUUCCGUAACACUACUGAAAACCCCCUUUACCUCCUGUGGUAUUUUGUAAGUUAGAGACAGGUCAUUCUCGUGUUGUAAGUUGGCAAGUCUGAUUUGAUGUAAGAGUGGAACAAGUGCUCCCUACUCAUCUUAAGUUUUGGUGAGUUCAAAGAGUUGACGGUUGAGAUCUAGUGCUCUAAAUAUUCAAUGCUGGUUAGAGGAUUUCUUAGACAAGUGUUAAGGGAUCAGGAGUACACAUUCCGGUUAGUAUAUGCAGGAGUGGCAUAGUGCCGUUGAAUACUUAAGAGUGCAAUUUUCUUCAGUUUUCAAUUUGAUUGAUUGGAUCGGGAACUGUUAAGCAAAGAUUAAGAGUGCUUGUUCAAUAGAUUUGGAGAUCAGAUCUGAGGGGGCAUUUUCCGAAUUUGUUUGUUGAACAUAUUCUAGUGGAUGAGAGGAGGACAUUUUUUGGUUCCUGAUAUUGUGCAGCUGGAUAGUGCUUACUUAUAUUGUGUUGAUUCAGUUCAAAAUUUCCCAAAAUCAUCAUCCCCUAAACUAAUGUAGCAAUGAAUAGUACACCUUGAGUACUGGAAUAGAAUAAAUUGCUGUCUAUAAAUAAAACACUGGUUAAGUGUUGGUAGUUAUUUUCUUGAAAACUUUCAAACCCACAAAUUUCUAACCAUUACACAACAUUGCAGGAAUAAUUGUGAACCCAAUAAUUAUCAUAGUUCCUAAUUCAUACAGAUUAAUCUUCUUACAGAGGCAGAAUUUUUAUACAGUUUGGAUGAGCUUGUUAGCCGAUCUUAACCAAUAAAACGUUUUCAAUAUGGCGGCCAUUCUCAUUUUGGCAACUUUAUUAUGUCCAGUAUGUAAAAAGAUAAAUUAUCAUUUACACUUCUCAUAAAAUUGUCAAGUAAUCCCAAGCAACUUUUAUUCCUUCUUACUUUCCAAAAACUGUUACAUCAUCAAGGUUACAAGAUGGUAGCCUUAACAAAGCAACCAGUGUUGCCAAGCCAUUGCCCUCUACUCUAUAUAAUCCAAACUUGGACUGAUUCAAGGAGUGUCUUUGGGCCUUUGUCCUGAGGUGAAAGUAUUGUUUGUCCUUCCCACCCUAAGGCAACCCUACCCUAAAUAAACAUGGUGGUGCUAUUCCUUGGUUUGUGCCUCUCAUCUACUUUCUAUUCUUGUCUGGGUGAAAGCUAACCUAAGCUUUCCACUAUUAGAACAAGCACUUAAUACCUUUAGGAACCCUGUCAUAAAUAUUAGGGACGUCACUCAUAAUAAUCAUGACUGCACCAUCUCUCCUUUAUAAUUAUAAAAUGAUGUUUAAACAUGAGCCUUCUCUAAGAUAUAUUAAAAUUACAGUAUGUUACUAUCCAAUAUAAACCCAGAAUAUAUAAGCCAGAAAAGAACCGAGGCUGUAGUAAUCAAAUCAUUUGAGGACAUAUUACUUAGGUAUAAUAUGAAUACAUUUUGGGUUGAUUUGUUCGAGGUCUUUGAAGGGGGAAGUAGAUAAUUGGUUGUAUUUUAUGGAGUUUAUAAUUAAGUACAUUUUUUAACAAGAGAUACAAGAGGUUCAUAUCUAUAGAAUUUCAUAAGUUUAGCUCAGCAAUUAGCAUAAUUUUUAUAUCUUUAAGUGAAUUAGGUUUUAGAAUAAAUGAAAUCAAUAGAACCAAAAUGUUUUAAAAACCUCUAUUUUUACAAGAAAAAAUAAAAGUUUUUAAAUGAAAAUCA